AUAAUUGUCAACAGAACCAAGG
rnacentral:misc_RNA from 1 species